rnacentral:rRNA from 1 species
UACAGAGGGUGCGAGCGUUAAUCGGAAUUACUGGACGUAAAGCGCACGUAGGCGGACUGUUAAGUCGGGGGUGAAAUCCUGGGGCUCAACCUCAGAAUUGCCCCCGAUACUGGCAGUCUCGAGUGCGGGAGAGGUGAGUGGAAUUCCCAGUGUAGAGGUGAAAUUCGUAGAUAUUGGGAAGAACACCAGUGGCGAAGGCGGCUCACUGGCCCGUAACUGACGCUGAGGUGCGAAAGCGUGGGGAGCAAACAGG